UAAAACUGAGAGAAACGCAUUAAAUAUAAGAGGAGAACAACGACACAACACUGCAAUAUAACACACACAGACACGGACCAAGCAUCAGACAAAAUCCCAUGAGAAAAACAAAUAUAACAUCAAAACCAAAUACAUGAAUUUGGGAUAGACAAGUACCGUGACACGUCUUAUCGCAAUGUGAAUUUACACUCAAAAUUAAGAGAAAACAAACGACGCAACGUUAAAAUGUAACACAAACAGAAACGAAC
rnacentral:lncRNA from 1 species